UGUUUCUACUUGGCCCUUCUCAUCCUCUCGUCUCCCGUAGCGGAGAUGGUUUAGGGUUUCGGUUUGGAGAUGGCGCUGACCAGCUUCAUCGUGACGGUGGUGGGCGUCGGCGCCACCAUCCUCCUCCCCGGGGACGUCAAGCGGUCCGCGGCCAUUCUCCGCCACGCCUGACACUGGCUCGAAGAAGAGUCCGCCUCUGCCUCCAAGACCUGAAGGAAGCUGGAUCAAACGGACACCUACCUGAAUAUGAACCAAUCUCAGCCAUGACAGGCAUCUUUUCAUUGAGUAAAUGCUCGAACUUUAUCAAACAAGCUUAAGACUAGUAAAGAUUUUAAAACUUUGUAACGUACUAGUGUUAUUAAUGAAAUUAGAAUCUUUUCUUA